AUUGAACGCUGGCGGCAUGCUUUACACAUGCAAGUCGAACGGCAGCACGGGUGCUUGCACCUGGUGGCGAGUGGCGGACGGGUGAGUAAUACAUCGGAACGUGUCCAGAAGAGGGGGAUAACGCAUCGAAAGAUGUGCUAAUACCGCAUAUGCUCUGAGGAGGAAAGUAGGGGAUCGAAAGACCUUACGCUUUUGGAGCGGCCGAUGUCUGAUUAGCUAGUUGGUGGGGUAAGGGCCUACCAAGGCGACGAUCAGUAGUUGGUCUGAGAGGACGACCAGCCACACUGGGACUGAGACACGGCCCAGACUCCUACGGGAGGCAGCAGUGGGGAAUUUUGGACAAUGGGCGCAAGCCUGAUCCAGCAAUGCCGCGUGAGUGAAGAAGGCCUCGGUUGUAAG
rnacentral:rRNA from 1 species